rnacentral:rRNA from 1 species
AACUCCUGGUGAGAAUCCGGGAAGUAAAAGCUCCGGCGCUACGAGAGGGGCCCGCGGCCGAUUAGCUUGUUGGUGGGGUAAUGGCCUACCAAGGCGACGAUCGGUAGCUGGUCUGAGAGGAUGGUCAGCCACACGGGGACUGAGAUACGGCCCCGACUCCUACGGGGAGGCAGCAGCUAAGAAUCUUGCGCAAUGGGCGAAAGCCUGACGCAGCAAUUCCGCGUGGAGGACGAAGGCCCUCGGGUCGUAAACUCCUUUUGCGAGGGAAGAAGUUCUGACGGUACCUCGCGAAUAAGCCACGGCUAACUACGUGCCAGCAGCCGCGGUAAUACGUAGGUGGCGAGCGUUGUCCGGAUUUAUUGGGCGUAAAGAGCCCGCAGGCGGCUUGGCAAGUUUCGAGUGAAAUCUCCCGGCUCAACUGGGAGGGCGCUCGGAAAACUGCCAGGCUUGAGGCAGGGAGAGGGGAUGUGGAAUUCCCGGUGUAGUGGUGAAAUGCGUAGAUAUCGGGAGG